CAGUCGCCACGGGAAUACGAGGGGGGCAAGCGUUGUUCGGAAUUAUUGGGCGUAAAGGGUGCGUAGGCGGCUUGACAAGUCUUGUGUGAAAUCUAUGGGCUCAACCCAUAGUCUGCACGGGAAACUGUCGGGCUUGAGAAUGGGAGAGGUGAGUGGAAUUUCCGGUGUAGCGGUGAAAUGCGUAGAUAUCGGAAGGAACACCUGUGGCGAAAGCGGCUCACUGGACCAUUUCUGACGCUGAUGCACGAAAGCUAGGGGAGCAAACAGGAUUAGAUACCCGCGUAGUCCCUGUCUCUUAUAC
rnacentral:rRNA from 1 species